AUUGAACGCUGGCGGCAGGCUUAACACAUGCAAGUCGAGCGGGGUGAUGGUGCUUGCACUAUCACUUAGCGGCGGACGGGUGAGUAAUGCUUAGGAAUCUGCCUAUUAGUGGGGGACAACAUCUCGAAAGGGAUGCUAAUACCGCAUACGUCCUACGGGAGAAAGCAGGGGAUCACUUGUGACCUUGCGCUAAUAGAUGAGCCUAGGUCGGAUUAGCUAGUUGGUGGGGUAAAGGCCUACCAAGGCGACGAUCUGUAGCGGGUCUGAGAGGAUGAUCCGCCACACUGGGACUGAGACACGGCCCAGACUCCUACGGGAGGCAGCAGUGGGGAAUAUUGGACAAUGGGGGGAACCCUGAUCCAGCCAUGCCGCGUGUGUAAAGAAGGCCUUAUGGUUGUAAAGCACUUUAAGCGAGGAGGAGGCUCUUUUGGUUAAUACCCAAGAUGAGUGGACGUUACUCGCAGAAUAAGCACCGGCUAACUCUGUGCCAGCCGCCGCGGUAA
rnacentral:rRNA from 1 species